ensembl:lncRNA
UGUUUUUGUUGUUAAAAACAAAUCUGUUUUUCGGAGUGAAAUACCAUCUGUACUGAAAUGGGCAGAUAAAUGCUUAAUUAUAGCUAAAUGGGUUCAUUCAUUAAGUGGGCUUCUCUAUCCCUUGGCGGACUUCAGGUGUGAAAAGAAACCUCUCUCCCUGUGGAGUCUAUCAUCUGUGUCUGUGUUCCAGACAGCUGUGCAGUAGAGUAGGAUGUGUUUUAAACUGCCCUGUCUCUGCUGUUCCAGAUGAGAUUACAGUCCUGUCUCUGACGCCUUUGUUCUGAAUUAUGUCCCAGUGUAAUCUAUAAUUCCUGUAAUCUGACCAACAGUUAACACUGCAAUCUGAGAUGAGAUGAAGUGGAGGUGUUAGUGCUGGUGCUAGUCCUUGAUGGAGGUGCCGGUGCUAGUCAUUGAUGGAGGUGGUGGUGCCGGUGCUAGUCCUUGAUGGAGGUGGUGGUGCCGGGGAUAGUCCUUGAUGGAGGUGUUAGUGCCGGGGCUAGUCCUUGAUGGAGGUGGUGGUGCCGGGGCUAGUCCUUGAUGGAGGUGUUAGUGCCGGGGCUAGUCCUUGAUGGAGGUGUUAGUGCCGGGGCUAGUCCUUGAUGGAGGUGUUAGUGCCGGGG